GAUGAAGAACGCAGCGAAAUGCGAUACUUGGUGUGAAUUGCAGAAUCCCGUGAACCAUCGAGUCUUUGAACGCAAGUUGCGCCCGAAGCCAUUAGGCCGAGGGCACGCCUGCCUGGGUGUCACACGUCGUUGCCCCCCCAUCUACUCCUUCGGGAUUGCGGGGGGCGGAUGAUGGCCUCCCGUGCGCCUCGUCGCGCGGUUGGCCUAAAUGCCAAGUCCUCGGCGACGCACGCCACGACAAUCGGUGGUUGCGAAACCUCGGUUGCCCGUCGUGUGCGGUCGUCGCGCAUCGAGGGCUCGAAAAAAUUGCCGGGCUUCGGCUCGACUUUCAACGCGACCCCAGGUCAGGCGGGGUUACCCGCUGAAUUUAAGCAUAUCAAUAAGCGGAGGA
rnacentral:misc_RNA from 1 species